AACGAACGCUGGCGGCAGGCUUAACACAUGCAAGUCGAACGGAUGUAGCAAUACAUUAGUGGCGCACGGGUGAGUAACGCGUGGGAACGUACCCUUAGAUACGGGACAACCUCGGGAAACUGAGGCUAAUACCGUAUAAUGUCUUCGGACCAAAGAUUUAUCGUCUAAGGAUCGGCCCGCGUUGGAUUAGGUAGUUGGUGAGGUAAAGGCUCACCAAGCCGACGAUCUAUAGCUGGUCUGAGAGGAUGAUCAGCCACACUGGGACUGAGACACGGCCCAGACUCCUACGGGAGGCAGCAGUGAGGAAUAUUGGACAAUGGAGGAAACUCUGAUCCAGCCAUGCCGCGUGAGUGAAGAAGGCCUUCGGUUGUAAAGACUCUUUUGUCCCUUGACGAU
rnacentral:rRNA from 1 species